UACGGAGGGUCCAAGCGUUAUCCGGAUUCAUUGGGUUUAAAGGGUCCGUAGGCGGGAAAAUAAGUCAGUGGUGAAAGCCUACAGCUUAACUGUAGAACUGCCAUUGAAACUGUUUUUCUUGAAUUUAGAUGAAGUGGGCGGAAUAUAUCAUGUAGCGGUGAAAUGCAUAGAUAUGAUAUAGAACACCGAUUGCGAAGGCAGCUCACUAAACUAAUAUUGACGCUGAUGGACGAAAGUGUGGGGAGCGAAC
rnacentral:rRNA from 1 species